GAUGAACGCUGGCGGCAUGCUUUACACAUGCAAGUCGAGCGAUCAACCUUAGCUUUCUAAUGUGUUUUGUUGCGGGCGGGCGAGUGAUUUAUCCGUACGUACCUUAUCUUUGGGGCUGACUAACCUACGGAUUAGCUACUACCUCCUACGCCCUUAUUUGGAACGUAGGGUUUCUUCGGACCUUACUUUCUUAUCUCGGCCGAUAUCUGAUUAGCUAGUUGGUGGGGUAAUGGGUUACCAAGGCGACGAUCAGUAGCUGGUCUGAGAGGACGACCAGCCACACUGGAACUGAGACACGGUCCAGACUCCUACGGGAGGCAGCAGUGGGGAAUUUUGGACAAUGGGCGCAAGCCUGAUCCAGCCAGGCCGCGUGAGUGAAGAAGGUCUUCGGGUUGUAAAGCUCUUUUGCAAGGGAAGAAAACAUACCAUAGAAUAAAUGGAGAGGCUGACGGUACCUUGAUAAGAAGCACCGGCUAACUACGUG
rnacentral:rRNA from 1 species